rnacentral:rRNA from 1 species
UGAGGAAUAUUGGGUCAAUGGCCGAGAGGCUGAACCAGCCAAGUCGCGUGAAGGAAGAAGGAUCUAUGGUUUGUAAACUUCUUUUAUAGGGGAAUAAAGUGGAGGACGUGUCCUUUUUGUAUGUACCCUAUGAAUAAGCAUCGGCUAACUCCGUGCCAGCAGCCGCGGUAAUACGGAGGAUGCGAGCGUUAUCCGGAUUUAUUGGGUUUAAAGGGUGCGUAGGUGGUGAUUUAAGUCAGCGGUGAAAGUUUGUGGCUCAACCAUAAAAUUGCCGUUGAAACUGGGUUACUUGAGUGUGUUUGAGGUAGGCGGAAUG